AGAAGGCAUGAUGGUGAGUCGAUCUGAGAAAUACCGGCGAACUUGAUCUGGAUAAUACCAGCGAAAGGACAUGCUUCUUUGACACC
rnacentral:ncRNA from 1 species